rnacentral:rRNA from 1 species
AGUGAGUAGCUUGCUAUGAGCUGUUUUAGCGGCGGACGGGUGAGUAACGCGUGGGUAACCUGCCUCGUACUGGGGGAUAACAGUUGGAAACAGCUGCUAAUACCGCAUAAGACCACGGAGCCGCAUGGCUCAGUGUGAAAAACUCCGGUGGUACAAGAUGGACCCGCGUCUGAUUAGCUGGUUGGUGAGGUAACGGCCCACCAAGGCGACGAUCAGUAGCCGGCCUGAGAGGGUGAACGGCCACAUUGGGACUGAGACACGGCCCAAACUCC